rnacentral:misc_RNA from 1 species
CAAACUGUGUGAAUUAAUGUAAAGUGUAGUCUGCUUAGAACAUCGACAUCUUGAACGCAAAUUGCGGCCGUAGCUUUGUCUAUGGCCACGCCUGUCCGAGGGUCGGCUUAAUAAACUAUUCACGACGCUCAAAAAGUCGUGGAUUGGAAGGCUGCCAGCUGGAAUGUCUCUAGGCGUGAUGUCCUCCACAUUUGGUUACUAUGAGGCUUGCACGUAUGAGACUUCCAGAUCUAUGGCUCCUUUCUAAGUUGCCCUGCCGUGGACCUAGUGGUUGAUGACCGUAGGCGUGGAAUGUACAGGGUCGUGGUUCAGUGGUUCAGUAUAUAUUGGUAUAUCUGACACACGUCCUUUGCUUCUCACGUGGUUGUUCAUCCAUUGUCUCACGGUUAGGUUGCUGUUGGUUCGAAGACCAAACAGCAGUCCUCAUUCCUGACCUCGGAUCAGACGGGAAUACCCGCUGAACUUAAGCAUAUCACUAA